UACGUAGGGUGCGAGCGUUAAUCGGAAUUACUGGGCGUAAAGCGCGCGCAGGCGGCGCUGUAAGACAGGUGUGAAAUCCCCGGGCUUAACCUGGGAAUGGCGCUUGUGACUGCAGUGCUCGAGUGCGGCAGAGGGGGGUGGAAUUCCACGUGUAGCAGUGAAAUGCGUAGAGAUGUGGAGGAACACCGAUGGCGAAGGCAGCCCCCUGGGUCGACACUGACGCUCAUGCACGAAAGCGUGGGGAGCAAACAGG
rnacentral:rRNA from 1 species